rnacentral:rRNA from 1 species
GACGAACGCUGGCGGCGUGCUUAACACAUGCAAGUCGAGCGGUAAGGCCCUUUCGGGGGUACGACGAGCGGCGAACGGGUGAGUAACACGUGGGUGACCUGCCCUCAGCUCUGGGAUAAGCCUGGGAAACCGGGUCUAAUACUGGAUAUGACUCCAUGACGCAUGUUGUGGGGUGGAAAGCCUUGUGCGGCUGAGGAUGGGCCCGCGGCCUAUCAGCUUGUUGGUGGGGUGANGGCCUACCAAGGCGACGACGGGUAGCCGGCCUGAGAGGGCGACCGGCCACACUGGGACUGAGACACGGCCCAGACUCCUACGGGAGGCAGCAGUGGGGAAUCUUGCGCAAUGGGCGAAAGCCUGACGCAGCGACGCCGCGUGAGGGGUGACGGCC